rnacentral:tRNA from 1 species
UAUGCUUGGGUGUAUUGGCACGUAAAGUUUUGGUCUUUAAGGUGAUAGAUGAGUUUUGUUGAGCAUAA